rnacentral:tRNA from 1 species
GGCAACUUGGCCGAGCGGUCUAAGGCGCCACGUUAAGGAGUACCCUUAAUACAAUCUCUGGAUUCCGUGGUCCGAAAGGGCGUGAGUUCGAAUCUCACAGUUGUCA